rnacentral:rRNA from 1 species
AGUGAACGCUGGCGGUAGGCCUAACACAUGCAAGUCGAACGGCAGCACAGUAAGAGCUUGCUCUUACGGGUGGCGAGUGGCGGACGGGUGAGGAAUACAUCGGAAUCUACUUUUUCGUGGGGGAUAACGUAGGGAAACUUACGCUAAUACAGCAUACGACCUACGGGUGAAAGCAGGGGAUCUUCGGACCUUGCGCGAUUGAAUGAGCCGAUGUCGGAUUAGCUAGUUGGCGGGGUAAAGGCCCACCAAGGCGACGAUCCGUAGCUGGUCUGAGAGGAUGAUCAGCCACACUGGAACUUGGACACGGUCCAUACUCCUACGGGAGGCAGCAGUGGGGAAUAUUGGACAAUGGGCGCAAGCCUGAUCCAGCCAGACCGCGUGUGUGAAGAAGGCCUUCGGGUUGUAAAGCCCUUUUGUUGGUAAAGAAAAGCAGCAGGUUAAUACCCCGCUGUUCUGACGGUACCCAAAGAAUAAGCACCGGCUAACUUCGUG